CCACUCUCCCCAAAUAGGCCCUGCUCGUGUACACCCCAUACCUUUACAAAUGCUGCUCUCCUGCCGGGAAUGCCUGUUCUCAUCCUCUUACCCUGGCAAGACAUUCAGUUAGUUCUUUACAACCCAGUUCUGAUGUCACUUCCUUUUAGUCAUUCAUCCGUCCCUCUGGGCUGGGUUAAUUCACUUCCUUCUCCAGGGCUUCGCUGAACUCUGCACAGACCUCAAUUACAACCCUUAUAAAGCUGGGUUGUGGUCGGGUGCGGUGGCUCAUGCCUGUAAUCCCAGCACUUGGGAGACUGAGGCAUGUGAGUCGCCUGAACCCGGGAGGCAGAGGUUGAAGUGAGCCGAGAUCGUGCCACUGCACUCCAGCCUGGGCGACAGAGCGAGACUCCGUCUCAAAAGUAAGUAAGUAAAUAAAUAAAUAAUAAAGCUAGGUUGUAAUUCCUUAAUUACUGAUCAGACUUUUUUCACUAGACUGUGGGUGUCACAUGUGGGUCUGAGUCAUCUCUGUGUCCUCAGAGCCAAGAAGUGGGGAGGUGCUUAAUGAAGUUACUGAAUGCUCCAGAAAUAUGUUCCCGUCACUGAGUGCUCCAAAGAGGCAUUCACCUGUCUCCUCUUCCCUGAUCAUCCCUCGGGGCUACCUGGAGUGCCUGCCAGAUCAGAGUUUGAGAGAUCUGCCCUGGCAGUCGCCUGACUAGGCCUACAUAUCUUCCCGUGUCUGGCCAGCCUUCCAGAGAGCAGUCUGUCCCUCUCUCCGACUCCAGCCGGCCAGGCCUGGUUCUCACAUUGUCAAAAAUAAAAGGAGUUAAAAGAAGCCAAGCGAUUAGGCAAGAAAAGGAAAUGAAGGCAUCCAGACUUGAAGGAAAGAAGUGAAACUAUUUGAAGAUAACAUGGUCUUGUUUGUAGAAAAUCCUGGGGAAUCUACAAGAAAAUUUUUAGAACUCACAAAUGAGUUCCAGGGGCCCAAGUCCUCAGUUUGGCUUUGAAGGGGUCCCUUGGUCUCCUGGCCCUGCUCCCCCUUUCCUGUGGCACUUCCCAGCACUCCUCCUGUGAGUGGCUCUUAGCAGCCGCAGUGGAGCAUCCACUUUGACGUUGCCUACUUUCCCCUCUCUUCUCCCUGCCUGGGUAGAGCCUUUGAAGAGCUUCUGUCUCAUCUUCACCUCAUCCCUAAAGUCCUUAAAUAAGGGGCAUAUUUAUCGAGGAUAAGAAUUGGACCUGUGUUAUCUCAUUCAAUCCCCACAGCAACCUUUGGAAGUGGGAACUGUAAUUAUCACCCCCAUUUUUCAGAUGAGGCUCUGGGAACCUAUGCCCCUGGUCCAACCUCACAGUUAUGAGGCCCACUGGGCUUGAAAGCAAGGGCUGCCUGACUCCAACAUCCAAUUUCUUUUUUUUUUUUUUUUUGAGAUGGAGUCUCGCUCAGUCGCCCAGGCUGGAGUGCAGUGGCGCAUACUCGGCUCGCUGCAAGCUCCGCCUCCUGGGUUCACGCCAUUCUCCUGCCUCAGCCUCCCGAGUAGCUGGGACUACAGGUGCCCACCACCAUGCUCGGCUAAUUUUUUUUGUAUUUUUUAGUAGAGACCGGGUUUCACCGUGUUAGCCAGGAUGGUCUCGAUAUCCUGAACUCAUGAUCCGCCUGCCGCGGCCUCCCAAAGUGCUGGGAUUACAGGCGUGAGCCACCGCGCCCGGCCCUCCAACAUCCAAUUUCUUAACCCGAAAUUUGGAAAGAGAAGUGAGGCCCUAUUCUAAUGCUUCCUCCCCUAGCUAGAUGUAUCUCUUCUUUCCCUGACCCAGACUCCAAGGCUGAUAAGCUAUCAGUGUGUAGAGCUGACUCUGUACUGUGAUCAUUUAUGCAGAGCUUUUCUCUCCCCUGUUUGGCUGGAAGAUCCAUGGGAGCAGAGGCCACGUCUUAUUCAGCCUCACAUGCUAGAACUGCUUGGCACAUGCUCAAAUGUACAUACCUAGAUACUACAUUCUUGAUCAUUUGAAAAAUUUGCUGCCUUUUAAUUCUUUUUAAAUUUGUGAGUUCCUCAUUCAUCCUUUUAUUUCCUUAUACUUUUUCCUUGAAAGAAUCUGGAAGUUUGACUGUUGCAUCUCCCUUGGCCUGACAUUGCUGACUGCACACUCGAGGUUCUGUUCAACACACUGCUCUGUCCUGUGAUCGUCCUGUGAAUUGCCAGCUGAAUCCAGAGACUGGCUCAGGCUCAGGAUUGAUCCCUUUGGUCAGACUGCAGGUGGGGCUUGGCUUCUCUAGGUGGUAUAUAAUGUCUGUUUGUCUCAUUUUCUAAUAAUCUUAGCAGCUGUUAUACUUAAUACCUAUAUCUAUUCCUCUGUUCUCUUAAAAAUUCUAAUUGUGUAAAAUAUAUAUAAUACAGAAUUUACCAUUUUAACCAUUUUAAAGUGUACAGAUCAGCAAUGUUAAGUACAUUCAUAUUGUUGUGCAACCAAUCUCCAGAACUCUCUUUAUCUUGUAAAACUGAAACUCUAUAUUUACUGAACAACUCUCCAUUUCUCCCUCCCUCAACCCCUGGCACUCACCAUUCCACUUCCUUUUUCUUUUUUUUUGAGACCAAGUCUCGCUCUGUCACCCAAGCUGGAGUGCAAUGGCGCCAUCUCGGCUCACUGCAACCUCCGCCUGCCGGGUUCAAGUGAUUCUCCUGCCUCAGCCUCCUGAGUAGCUGAGAUUACAGGCACCUGCCAUCAUGCCGGGAUAAUUUUUGUAUUUUUGUAGAGACAGGGUUUCACUAUGUUGGCCAGGCUGGUCUUGAACUCCUGACCUCAGGUGAUCCGCCUGCCUCAGCCCUCCAAAGGGCUGGGAUUACAGGUGUGAGCCACUGCGCCUGGCCCCACUUUGUUUUUCUUUCUGUUUUUUUUUUUUUGGUUUUGUUUGUUUGUGUGUUUGUUUUUGGAGACGGACUCUCCCUCUGUUGCCCAGGCUGGGGUGCAGUGGCGCAAUCUUGGCUCACUGUAACCUCCGCCUCCUGGGUUCAAGCAAUUCUGCUGCCUCAGCCUCCUGAGUAGCUGGGACUACAGGCGUACCUCACCAAGCCUGGCUAAUUUUUUUGUAUUUUUAGUAGAGAUGGAGUUUCACCGUGUUGCCCAGGCUGCUUUUGAACUCCUGAGCUCAGGCAAUCUGCCCGCCUCGGCCUCCCAAAGUGCUGGGAUUACAGGCAUGAGCCACCACACCCGGCCUGUUUUUUGGUCUUUUUUUUUUGAGACAGAAUCUAGCUUUGUCACCCAGGCUGGUGUGCAGUGGUACAACCUCGGCUCCCUGCAACCUCCACCUCCUGGCUUCAAGUGAUUCUCCUGCCUCAGCCUCCCAAGUAGCUGGGAUCACAGGCACAUGCCAGCAUGUCCAGCUAAGUUUUUGUAUUUUUAGUACAGACGGGAUUUCAGUAUGUUACCCAGACUGGUCUUGAACUCUUGACCUCAAGAGAUCCACCUGCCUCGGUCUCCCAAAGUGCUUGGAUUACAGGCAUGAGCCACUGCACCUGGUCUCCACUUUCUGUCUCCAUGAGUUUGAGUACGCCAGGGACCUCAUAUAGGCAGAUUCAUAUACUACGUGCCCUUUUGUGACUGGCUGAUUUAUCUUAGCAUAACGUCCUCAGGUUUCAUCCACGCUGUAGCAUAUCACAGGAUUUCCUUUCUUUUGGAUGCUGAAUAAUAUUUUAUUGUAUGAAUACGCCACAUUUUGUGUAUCCAUUCAUCCUCUGAUGGACACUGGCUGCUUCCACUCUUCGGCUGCUGUGAAUAAUGCUGCUAUGAACAUGGGUGUAUAUAGACGUCUCUUCAAGACCCUGCUUUCAAUUCUUUCGGGUAUAUACUGAGAAACGGAAUUGUUGGGUGGCAUGGUAAUUCUAUGUUUAAUUUUUUGAGGAGCUGCCAUACUGUUUUCCAUAGUGGCUGCACCAUUUUAGAUUCUCAUCCUUUAUGCUCUUUUAAUGUUCAUUUCCACCACUCACCAUUCAGGGAGUGUUCAGGGCCCUCGACUAACCAUAUUGGGAUCCAAAAGGUAAUGUUCCCUCUAAUAGUCCCAAACUGGGAACUACAUGCAAGUCCAGUAACAGGGGAUCCAUUAAAUCAUAGAUCCCUAACAUGGAAUCCCACGUAGCCAUUUAAAAUAUUGUUGGGAAGAGUAUUUGAUGACAUGAAAAGAUGUCUCUAAUACUUGUUUAAGUUAAAAAAAAAAGGAGGCUACAAAACAGAAUGUGUAUGUGUAGGGUAAAUCCAUAGUUUUAGUAAAAAGACAACUGUGUAUUAGUAGGAAGAGCUGUCUUAACUGACCUUCACUUAACUGAUUCACUGAAUUAGUCAAAGUCCCUCACCCCUGCCACUUGUAAAACACAGUGACCCGGCUGGGCGCGGUGGCUCACGCCUGUAAUCCCAGCACUCUGAGAGGCCGAGGCGGGCGGAUCACGAGGUCAGGAGAUCAAGACCAUCCUGGCUAACACAGUGAAACCCUGUCUCUACUAAAAAAUACAAAAAAUUAGCCAGGUGUAGUGGCAGGCGCCUGUGGUCCCAGCUACUUGGGAGGCUGAGGCAGGAGAAUGGCGUCAGCCUGGGAGGCAGAGCUUGCAGUGAGCUGAGAUCGUGCCACUGCACUCCAGCCUGGGCGAUAGAGCGAGACUCUAUCUCAAAAAAAAUCAAAAACAAAACAAAAAAAACCCAAAAACACAGUGCCCCAAUAGCUUUCGUUUUUACACCUUCUGCUCCCAACUAUUCAGUUGUACAAUGAGUAAGAGUCACCUUAGUCCCAAGUUAGUUGUUUCCAAACUUGUUUAUUCUAGUUGUAUUAUAUAUGGUAAGAAUGAAUUACACAUGACACAAUAAGGUGAAAUAUGAGUGCAAAAAGUCUCCAUGGGAGCAAAGUCAAAUAUUUGGAGAAGAUGCCUUAAACAAGUGUUAAAUUACAGGUGGAUCAGACAAGGGUAAAAGCCUGGGACACCACCUCUUGGAGGGGAACUAUCUUUCUGAGUUAUCACCUAGAGUGCCAAUUCUUUUCACCUUUAUUGUCCUGAAUUUUCACAGCUCUCCAUGGUAAGCGAUCAGCCAUGUCAUAGUCACCAACUAUGUAGAGUCAAGAGACUAUUUUUAUUCUGUUGCAAACCUUCAGGUCAGCCUAUUAUAGGUAUCUAUAGAAUUCAUUCCUGCAGUGGCAAAUAUGUGGCAUUUGUCCUACCAUUCUCCCAUCCUAAACCCAUGGCUGAUAUCAUGAACCCAUCACCAGAUUUUAUCCUGCUAAAUCCACACUGUAGUAUCAGAACUCUCUGGUUAGCCACAACAAAUCAACUGGGGAUGACAUGUCAUGUGACAUGAAACCUAUGCUGCCUCCCCAACCUCCUCAGGUUACAGAAGGCUUUAAAAAAAUCAGGUAGAAAAUUAAACAUAUACAAAGUGUCUAAAGUCCUGGCCCCUGGGCCCCUGGACUGAAUAUACUGUUUUAUACAUGGUAAGCAUUCAGUGUUCAUUGAAUGAAUGAAUGAAUGAAUGAAUGACAAUGCAUGGUCUCCUGCUUUCCAAAGCUCACCAUUCAGUCUUUCUCCCUCGCAUCAUCCUUCUUAGUUUCCCCUGACACCUGUGCUCUGAAUUUCCUCCCAGUCUAUAGGACAGCAGAAGGCCACAGUGCCCAGAAAUCCCACCAUUACCGACUGGUUUCUUUUGGAUGUGAUAUCCCAUUCAGAGUUAUUUGCAGGUGACCUCAAUACCAGAAUCAUAAACAACUAAUAACUUCUGCCUCUCUUCAGGAAGGCUGUGACUUGCCAACAAAAUGAUUCCCAGAAGACUGCGUUACUAACUGUGAAGCACUCUGCCCCAGGAAGGGGGCUGUAAAUCAGACUUCUUGUUUUAUUUCACUGCUGUACAGCUUUUGGAAAGCACCGACCAGCCUCUCUUCUUCCAGAAAGGAAAAAAAUGCUUCCAUCUCCUUAUUCUGCUUUCCCCUCCCCCUCCUGUUUGCAGCCUCUGGAGUUCAGGGAACAUAUCUGACCUGUCCCUGAACAUUCUCCCUUCUGCCUCUUUGUUCGCGCUGUUCCAUCUUCCCAUACCACCCUUCCACAAACCCCACGCUGACCCCCUGAGACCCUUGCCCGGCCCCAGGCCCACCUCAGAUGCCACCCGCCAAGGAGCCUUCCCUCAUUCCAACCACCUGGGUAGAAAACCUGCCAUCUCUUUACGUGAUAGUCCUUUGGAAGCACCUUCGAUUUUAUUUAGCACAUUCUACCUUAUUUUGCUGGUCUAAAGCAGUAAGAGUCCAGGGCAGCCACCGUUUAUCGAGAGCUUUGAGUGUGCCAGUCACCAUGCAAAGGACUUACAUGCCAUUAUGGUUUGAAUGUUUGUGUCUCUCCAAAAUUCAUGUUGGAGCUUUGGGAGGUGAUUAGGCUAUGAGGGCUCCACCCUCGUGAAUGGGAUUAAUGCCCUCAUAAGGGAGGCUCCAGAGAGCUGCCUGGCUCUUCUGUCUUUUCUGUCAUGUGAGAACACAUUGUCCCUUCCACCUCUUCCAUCACAGGAGGACACCUAGAUGGCACCAUUUAUGAGGAAGGAACCCUCCCUACACACUUAACCUGCUGGCACCUUGAUCUUGGACUUUCUAGGCUUCAGAGGAAAUGAGUUUCUGUACUUUAUAAAUUAUCCAGUCUCGGGUAUUUUAUUAAAGCUUACAAACAGACUUGUAUUAUCUCCUUUAUCUUGCAAACCUCUAUAGCCAUGUCCAUUUUAUUGAGGCUCAGAGAUGCUAAGGAGCCCAAGGUCACACAGCUAGUAAGGAACAGGUCCAGGCAUUCAUUCAUUAAUGAAUUCAUUAAUUCGUUCAAUCAACCAAUCUUUACUUAUUUAUUAAAGGCCUAUAAUGUGCUAGUCAAAGUCUAGAUGUUGGGAAAAUAACAGUAAUCAAGUCAAAGUGCUCGUCCACAAGGAGCUACCAUUCUAGCGGAAGAAACAUAUCCUAAAGAAAAAUACAAGUCAAUAAAUACUGUGUCAGGUGGUGAUAAAUGCUAUGGGGAAGAAAGAGGGUUAGUGAUGGCUGAAGUGGGUCUGCUGUUUAUAUAGGGUGGUCAAGGUGAUCUGGCAACAUUUGAGCGGAGAUCUAAAGGAAAUGAGUCAUGCAGAGAUCUGCAGGAAAAAACAUCACAGGAGGUGGGAACAGCCUAUGCAAAGGCCCUGGGGUGGGCACAUCUAUGGUAUGUUGGAGAGGCAGCGAGGAGUUUAGUGUGGCUGGAGCUGAGUGAGUGAGGGGAGAUAAACUUAGGUGACAGGGGUUAGAUCACGGAGGGCCUCGUGGUCAUGGCAGGAACUUCGGUUUUGACUUUGAUGAAACAGGGAGCCACUAAAGGACAACUCCCAGAACCCAUGUCCUUAAUUGCUAUGCUAUACUACUGAUGGAUUACGUGAAUGAAUGCCGAAAGGUACUUGUGGACUUUUUCUCAUUAAAACCAGCAGGAUGGUGGCCCAGAGAGUCUAGAAACAACGCAUGGAAGGGCAAGAUGUGAGUUAACAAGGAGGGCUAAUUAGGAAGGGGGAAAAGUGCCCAUUGCCUUGGUUGCCGGGAGUCUCUGAGGCUCCCACAGCACAGGACUGUGUAGGGCCCCGUGAUAGCCCCAGUGGGUCCUCUACCUGGAUUUGCAGAGUAGAUUUUCCAGGCCUGCCCCAGAUGGGUCUCAGCCCUUCCAUGAAAUAUGUCCUUUGCUAACAAGAGGCAGUGAGAAAAAGCCAACGUCUGCAAUGACUCACCAGAGAGAAAUGAAAAUUGUGCCCAGACUGGAAAAGAACCCAUCUGAAAGUGACACAUUUGCCUCCAAAAUAUAUAUACAUAUAUAUAAAGCUUUUUCUUUUCUUUUUCCUUCUCAUUUGAAGGAAGGCAGAGCCUUCUCACAUACACUGCCUCACAGCAGGAAAAUCUACUCUGCAAACUUCUGAAAUUCCUGUCCUUAUUCCUGUCGCAAUUCUAUGAGGCAAAAGGAUAUCAUAUCUGGGGAGGUGGCCAUUUCACGGCAGGACAGCAAGCGUGUGCCCUGGCAUUCCCAGGACAAUCCCAAUAGCAAAUAUUCUUCUGAUUGGCUGCCCCCCUCCCCCAGCCCCACUGCCAACUAACCAGCUAUUCUGACUUGGGAGUGCGUACGUUAAAAUGCAGAUUCUGGGAACUCUGAUUCAGGAGGUCUGGGAGGAAGCCCGGACACUGCACUUCAAAUAGAGAACCUCCAAUGAUUCUGAUACAGCCUGUCUAAGAAACGCUUCUCCAAACCACAGGAAUAGUCCCAGUAGCCCUAGCCUUCUGCAUCUAUGCUUAAAGGAUGAAGUGACUCCAAUCCUUUCUCAGACCACAGGGAGGCACAUUUUAGCUCCUGGCAGAGGUCAGAAUGCUCCUGGCCAAAUCAGAGUGGUGGAGAAUCUUGAAAUCCCAGUCCUUGCCCCUGUCCAUUCCAACUCUCUUCAUUUAUCUUCCUGACUUGAGCUUCUGGACUCUGCCGAGCAUUUGCUCUCUGGGUCAUAGCCAGGAAGGCCCCGGUGCUGAGGCAUGGAGCUGCCCUGGGUCUUGGAUACAAGCCACAGCUGGAGAGGGGGUCAGACCUUGCCUAAGCCUCUGAUCAUGAAGUAUAACAGAAAUGCCUAAUUGUGAUUAUGAAACACUGUUUCACGUCUUAAUUUGUUGAAGUUACAUGUUGACAGUAGGUACUGCCUUAGCAGGUGGAAACAAAAGGGUCCUACAUCUAUUAUUACUGUAAUUUACUGGAAUAAGGAGCCACCAGAUGCAGCCCUGGCUCACACCCCUUCCUCAUGAAUUACAAAGCUGGUCUGAGGGCCCUGUCAGUUGCUGGCUUUGGGCACCAACAUUGCUAAUUAAAAUCUUCCUGUGGUGCACUCCACUUUGUUGAGAUCUCUGCUCAGAUGCCAUCUUCCUUACCCACUGGUCUAAAUGACUCUCUUCCCCAGUGCCCUUCUCUUGUUAUUUCUAACCUCUUAGCCUACUUUAUUUUCCUUCAGAGCAUCCACCACUACUUGAAUUACAAAUUGAUUUAUUUGCUUGCUACUUUAUCAUCUGCCUUAAUCCAUCUAGAAGGUAAGUUCUUUAAGAGCUAUGACGUUGUCAUGUUCAACACUGUAUUUUGAUGCCUUGCACAUAACAGGCACUCAACUGAUAGUUGCUGAAUGAAUCAAUCAAUGAUAAAUGAAUGAAUGUUACAAUGUUCUGAGGGCCCUGGAGUCAUGUCUAACUGCAUGAUGCUCUACUUAUUGGAUCCAGUGGUCUUUGCGGACUAAGCAGAUACACAAAAAAUAACAACAGCUGCUUUUUUUUUUUUUUUCUUUUGAGACAGGAUCUUGCUCUGUUGCAUAGGCUGGAGUGCAGUGGCACAAUCUUGGUUCACUGCAACCUCUGCCUCCCGAGCUCAAGCAAUCCUCCCACCUUGGCCUCCCCGGUAGCUGGGACUGUGAAUGCGCACCACCACACCUGACUAAUUUUUGUAUUUUUUGGUAGAGAUGGGGUUUCACCGCAUUGCCCAGGCUGGCCUCAAACACCUGGGCUCAAAUGAUCCGCCUGCCUUGGGCUCCCAGAGUGCUGGGAUUACGGGUGUGAGCCUCCGCACCCAGCCAAUAGCUGUUUUAUUUAGUGCUUACUAUGUACUGGGUGUACACACCAUCUCAUUUUAUCCUCAGAGUAGUUUUGCAAGGUCGGGAUUAUUAACCCCAUUUAUUUAUUUAUUUUUUUGAGACAGGGUCUCGUUUUGUCACCCAGGCUGGAUACACUGGCACGUUCAAUAGUUCACGGCAGCCUCGACCUCCCGGGCUCAAGCAACUCUCCCAUCUCAGCAUCCCGAGUAGCUGAGACCACAGGUACUCACCACCAUGCCCAGCUAAUUUUUGUAUCUUUUUUGGUAGAGACAGGGUUUCACCAUGUUGCCCAGGUUGCUCUGAACUCCUGGGCUCAAGUGAUCUGCCUGCCUCAGCCUGCCAAAGUGCUGGGAUUACAGGCAUGAGCCACUGCAUGUGGCCCUAUUAACUCCACAUAAGAGAUAUAAAAACCAAUGACAAAGUCACCCAGCCAGUAAGGGAAGAGGCGGAAUUCAAACUUAAGUCAUUUAAUGCCAAGGUCUUCACUGUGUCUCACGACAACUGCAUUUGAUGCGAUCUAACUUGUGUUGACACUGGGAUAGGAUCCAGAGACAAGCAAGACAAGGUCCCUAAUGCCAGAAGUUCAGGGUCUAUCUCGGCAGCACAGCAGAAUAAGGAUGAGCAAGCAAUUAGAAUUCACCUCCACAUCCGAGCCUCAUCCUGUACUAGCUGAGCCUCAGCUCCCUCCUCUGUAAAAUAGAGUACUAAUUCACCAAAAUAAUGGAGCCAUAAGUCAUCAGUCCUCUGCUAUGUGAGGACACAGCAAGAAGGCAGCCACCUGCAAGCGAGAAGAGGCCCUACACCAGAGCCUGGCCAUGGUGGCACCCUGAUCUCAGACUUCCAGCCACCAGACCUGUGAGAAAUCAAUGUUUGCUGUUAAGGCUGCCUAGUCCAUGACAUUUUGUUAUAUAUAGCAGCCUGAACUAAAACAGUAGUGAUUCUGGAAGUCAGGUCUACUAGCCAAACACUGUGAACCACCGAUACAUUUAAUUCCAUUACACAGAUCCAAAGUAGUUUUAUUAUCAAACUAAAGGUACAAAGAAAAGAGUCAAGAAUCUCUAGGCAAUUAAAAAUUAGCAUCACAAUCUAGGUGCGGUGGCUCAUGCCCAUAAUCCCAGUAUUUAGGAUUCCCAGUACUGGGGAGGCUGAGGCGGGAGGAUCACUUGAGGCCAGGAGUUCAAGAUCAGCCUGGGCAAUAGAGCAAGAACCUACCUCUACAAAAAAUAUAAAAACUAGUCAGGCAUCGUGGCAUAAGCCUGUAGUCCCCACUACUUGGGAGGCUAAGGUGGGAGGAUUGCUUGAGCCCAGUUAUUUGAGACUGCAGUGAGCUAUAAUCAUACUACUGCACUCCAGCCUGGACAGCAGAGCAAGACUCUUAAAAAAAUUACCAUCACAAAUCAAUUAUGUUCAAAUCUCUCUGUUAAUAAGUAUUUCUUGAUUGGGCUGUUUAGAUUUUAGCAUCUACGUGGGCAAUACAAGGCAGUUGAGGGUGAAGGAAACUGGCAUCUCAUGGCUGGGGUGAUGCAAAUUAUUACUCUCUGUGGGCAGUUUUGUAGCUUUUACUCAAAAUCUUUAAAAUGUACAUAUUCUUUGGCUCUGCAGUUCUACUUCUGAGAAUCUUUCAUCCCACAGGGUACAAAAAGAUGUUCACCAUAGUGUUAUUUUUAUUACUGGAAAGUGGGACACAAUAUAAACAGCAGUCAUUACGGGACUGGUCCCAUGUUAGCACACAAGAACACCGGGAUGGUAUACAGCGAUUAAUAAUCAUGUGGCUUUCUCUGCUGACAUGGGAAAGUGUCCAUAAUAGUUUGUCAAAUUAAGAAGAUGACAAAACGGUACAUAAUCAUAUUUCUGUAACAUCGUAUGUAUGGGUGUGUAUGCUUGCAGAAAAGUCUACAAAAAUAUUCCCUGGAUUGUUCACAGUGGCUUUAUCUUGGUAGAAGGAUUUCAAGUGAUAUUUUUUCAAACUUUUGAUUUAACAGAUAGUAUUGUGUUAGGAAGCUAAGCAAAAAAACCCUCAAAAAACAAAAAACUAGAGUGGCCAGGAGUGGUGGCUCAUGCCUGUAAUUCCAGCACUUUGGGAGGCCAAGGCGGGUAGAUCGCUUGAGCUCAGAAGUUGGAGACCAGCCUGGCCAACAUGGCGAAACUGUCUCUACAAAAAAAUACAAAAAUUAGCUGGGCGCAGUGGUACAUGUCUGGAAUUUCAGCUACUUGGGAGGCUGAGUCAUGAGAAUCACUUGAACCUGGGAGGCAGAGGUCACAGUGAGCCAAGAUUGCACCACUGCACUCCAGCCUGGGUGACAGAGUGAGAGCCUGUCUCAAAAAAAAAAAAAAAAAGAAAAAACUGGAGUCAAUCUAAAAUUGCUUUAAAGAAAAGUGUUGAGGAAAUAAUAGAACAGGCAGGAAAGAGAUGUGAGAAAAUGGCAAAGGGGAGUGUGAAAGUUUGGCAAACACAGUUUUAAAUUCUUCAUCCUGCUCUUGCGUGGAAAGACUGUCUGCUCUUGCUUCUAAGUGAUAAACAUCUUAGUGGGAAAACCUCUUCCUUUUAUUUACCCAUUGACCCAGUUUUGGUGGUCAAUGACGCCCGCCCUUCCUGACAGAUGUUGGGGCAUGGGCCAGACAGGCCCGCUGGGUACACAAGGAUGCCCGCUCUUCUCCCUUGAUCCUGCAGUGGCUCCCUAGGGCCUCCAAGUAGGGGGAGUAGUUCUGUUGAUGGAGGGGUCACUAUGUACAAAGACUGAGCUGAAAUUUCUUGCACACCUUCUCAGAAUCACCCUAGGAGGGAAGCUUUUUGAAUGACCCCAUUUUAUUGAAAAAGAAACUAAGGCUCACAGAGGUCAAGGGUCUUGUCCAAGAUCACACAGCAAGUAAGCGAAGGACCUCACGCUCCAGUUCAGGUCGGCCUCUUUCUUUUGUUUUUUUGAGACAGAGUCUCGCUCUGUCGCCCAGGCUGGAGUGCAGUGGCAUGAUCUCGGCUCACUGCAAGCUCCGCCUCCCAGGUUCACGCCAUUCUCCUGCCUCAGCCUCCUGAGCAGCUAGGACUACAGGCGCCGCCACCACACCCGGCUAAUUUUUUGUAUUUUUUUUUUAAGUAGAGACGGGGUUUCACCGUGUUAGCCAGGAUCGUCUGGAUCUCCUGACCUCGUGAUCCACCCGCCUUGGCCUCCCAAAGUGCUAGGAUUACAGGCGUGGGACACCGUGCCCAGCCCAGGUCAGCCUGUUUCUAGGACCCAUCACUCUGAACCUCUAGUCCUUGUGCCCUUCGAGGGUGCAGACGGUGGUCUCUGCAUCUCCUUUGCUCCACGUGCCAGGCACAGGUGCCUGGGAACUACAGAAGAGGUUGAAUAGAAGGCUUAACAAUGAGUUUGGAAGUCAGGCACAGAGGGUUUGACUUCCGGGGGCACCCCUUGCCAGCUGUAUGACCCUGGCAAGUCACUCUUCCUUUCUGCGCCUUGGUCCCUGCAUCUAUAAAUUGCUGUAAGGAUGAAAUUACAUAAUUAUAGGUAAAGCACCUGGCACAGUGAACAGUCCACAAAUCUUAGCUAUAAUAACAAUGACGUCAGUUAAGUAACUCACUUAGAAACAACACUGGCCACUGAAGUGGAGGGCCAGUGAAGUGGAGUCAAGUGCUGGGAGGAAGUCCAGGCCAGCAGGCCAACUUUGGUAUACAAAGAUGUGAAAACACGCUUGGCGUGGUGGCUCACGCCUGUAAUCCCAGCACUUCGGAAGGCCGAAGCAGGCAGAUCACCUGAGGUCAGGAGUUCCAGACCAGCCUGGCCAAGAUGGCGAAACUCUGUCUCUACUAAAAAUAUAAAAAUUAGCCAGGCGUGUUGGCGUGUGCCUGUAGUCCCGGCUACUCCUCGGGAGGCUGAGGCAGGAGAAUCACUUGAACCUGGGAGGCAGAAGUUGCAGUGGGCCGAGAUUGCACCAUUGCACUCCAGCCUGGGUGACAGAGCAAGACCCUGUCUCAAAACAAAAAAACAAAGAUGUGAAAACAGCCAACCACCAGGUGGCAAUCCAUGCAAGAGCCCAGCUGCCGGGUGUGCCCCAGCUUCAAGCCAGACAGACCUCAGACAUCCAGGGCCUGGGGAAGGUCCAGCCCCAAAUGGCAGCCAUCUGAUAGCAGCAAAAGAAAACCUGUGGGCCAGGCGCGGUGGCUCACGCCUGUAAUCUCAGCACUUUGGGAGGCCGCGGCGGGCGGAUCACGAGGUCAGGAGUUCAAGACCAGCUUGGCCAAUAUGGUGAAACCCCAUCUCUACUAAAAAUACAAAAAUUAACUGGGUGUGGUGGCGCAUGCCUGUAGUCCCAGCUACUCAAGAGGCUGAGGCAGAAGAAUCACUUGAAUCUGGGAGGCGGAGGUUACAGUGAGCCGAGAUAGUGCCGCUGCACUCCAGCCUGGGCAACAGAACGAGACUGUCUCAAAAAAAAAAAAAAAGAAAACCUGUGAACCUGGGGGCUGGGGAACAGAGCUCUUGCCCAUGCGAAACAUGGGGUGCUGGGAGAGCUCAUGAAAAUGUACAUCAUUCAUGUGCCAUGCGCUUGCUGAGUACUUCCCAUGCAUAAUUCAAUUUCAGCCUCAUGGCAGCCUUUCUCAGUUGAUGUUGUUAUCCCAGUUCAGAGAGGAGUAAACUGAGGCCCAGAGAAGUUAAAAAACUUGCCCAAGGACAUACAGCUAGUGAGUGGUGGAGCUGGGAUUUGAACCCAGGCAGUCUGUUUCCAGAGAACUGCUUCAGGCCCUCCUGCCCCUAUCAAGAGGCCAGGGCAGGGCAGAGCCUACAGGUGGGACUCCAGGGGUCCAGAGCUGGAUGAUCUACACACAGGGGAUCACAUGAUGCAAGCAGUUUCCGUACAAUGCGUUCUAUUUAGGGUGGGUUGUCCUUCUCCAGAAGGAAGAAUUUCUCCCUGGAGACUGGCCAGAUGCAGCCUGGUGGGUGGCAGUGCAUACAUUCCCAUCUCCUCAGACCUACCUACCAAGAACAGCCGCGCUGAUGAGAGUCCUGUGUCACUGGCGAAAUUGCUUCCAAAUUGCCUUCUUCAUUAACUGUGCAAAUUUGCAUCUUAAUUAGGCUUAAUGGAAUACAAUUACCAGACCCCACGUUUCUCUCUCUGAUUUCAAGCAAGGAUGCCACAGAGACAGGCCAGAAGCCAAAAACGUGGGGCUGGAGGGAGCCUGGUUGGGCUCUCCCUGCAGGAAACCUCGCAUCUGGGAAAGGAGGGGCCAGGCGCUACCCAGCGGGGACUGCACCUGGUACAUCCAGGCUCCUGAACUGAGGAGACCAUGGGAUUUGGAAUCAAGCUUUGGGAAGCCUGCCUCUGCCUCUGACCAGUGGAGGACUGACCCUUUCUGAGCCUCUGUUUUCUCAUUUGUAAAUUGGAGAUGGUGAUAACAUUUACUAUGGGGUAGCUGCAGGGAUCAAAGGUGAUCGCGUGUGUGUUAGCACCUGGUAAAGCACCUAACACGUAGUUUGUUCUCUUUCUCCAUGCCCUCCCUUUUUGAGGCCUACAAGGUUGUGCAGAGCUGAUCCCGGCCUUCCCCUUCGGUGAUUCAGUGAGCGUCAGCUUAUUUCAUCCUCCCUUCCAUGCUCUGGCCAUACACACUUCUGAGUCCUGGGAAGGCUCUAAGCUCCUUCCUGUCUUGUGAGCUUUUCAAGUGCUAUUCCCUCUGCUUGGAACACCUGACCCCUGGUUAGUACCUACUCAUCCUUCCAAUCUCAGCUCAAACAGCACUGUCUCCAGGAAGCCUUCCCUAGCCCCAGAAUAAACUCUCCUAACAUCAUUUAUCUAUGGGAUUAUUUAAUAUGUGUCCCUCUCUCUCCCACAGACAGUAAGCUCCAUGAGUGCAGAGAACACUUCUAUUGUGUUCUCUGUUGCAUCUCCAGCUCCUGGUUCAGGGCUUAUCACAUAGUAGGUCCCAUUCAUGUCUGUUUAAUGGAUGGAUAUGAACAUCCCACUGAGCCUCAGCGAAUGUCAAGUGGGAGCCAUAAUCUCAUCCUUAUGGUGCUGUGAAAUCAUUAAAUGAUUUUUGGCACACAGUAGGUGUUUGACGAAUGAGAUACCUAUUCUCCCAUUCCUUUCAAUUAAGGAAAAGUUAGAAGCAGGCAUAUAGGUAGCUUAAAGGACAGCAUGUUCAUGGAUAGGAACCCCCAAUAUUGUCUAGAUGUCAGUUUUUACCAACUUGAUUUAUAGAUUUAAUGCAACCCCAAUCAAAAUUCCAGCAAGUUAUUUUGUGGAUAUAAGCAAACUGAUUAUGAAGUUUAUAUGGAGAGCAAAAGACCCAGAAUAACCAACACAAUAUUGAGGGAGAAGAGCAAAGUUGGCAGACUGACACUACCCAACUUUAAGACUUACUAUAAAGCUACAGUAAUUAAUAUGGUAUUGGUGAAACAAUAAACAGAGUAAUGGAACAGAAUCCAGAAUCCAGAGAUAAAUCGACAUAAAUACAGUCAAGUUGUUUUUGACAAAAGGGCAAAGUCAAUACAAUGGAGAAAAAUUCUUUUCAGCAAAUGGUGCUGGAACAACUGGACAUCCACAUGCAAAAAAGUACAUCUAGAUACAGACCUUACACCCUUCAGACAAAGUAACUCAAAAUGGACCAUAAGCCUAAGCAUAAAACCAAAAUUAUAAAACUCCUAGAAGAUAACACAGGAGAAAACCUGGAUGACCUUGGGUUGGCAAUGACUUUUUAGAUACAAUACCAAAGGCAUGCUCCUUGAAAGAAAUAAUUAAUUGAGAAGCCAGAAGGCAAAAUGGUACAGCCAUUUUGGAAGACAGUUUGGCCGUUUCUCACAAAACUAAAUAUACUCUUACCAUACCAUGCAGCAAUUAUACUCCUUGGUGUUUACCCAAGACUUGAAAACUUGUGUCUACACAAAAAUCUGCACGAGUGUUUAAAGCAGCUUUAUUUUUAUUUAUAAUUGCCAAAGCUUGGAGGCAAGUAAGAUGUCCUUUGGUAACAAGAGGAUUCAGAAUCUGAGAGAUACUGCUUAAAAGGAAAAUGUCCUGGAGGGAUGCCAAACUGCACUCUCAAAGGUUUCGGCUGGAUGUGUGAUAUUGAUGGGGAAACCCAUUUCAGUGUCUCUAAGAAGGGGGUAGUGCUCCUCUUUCCAGGAUGUCUCUGGGGAAUCUAGAGCACCCCAAAGUGUGGUAUGCAUAGAAACAUUGCUGCUUAAGGUCUGAAUAUUUGUUCCUCAUCAAUUCAUGUGUUGAAAUUCUAACCUCUCCUGAAUGGGAUUAGUGCUCUUACACGAGAGGCCUGACAGAGACUCCUCACCCUUCCCACCAUGCGAAGACACAGUGAGAAGGCUCAGUCUAUGAACCAAAAUGUUGACUGUCACCAUUUACUCAAUCUGCUGUCGCCUUGAGCUUGGACUUCCCAGCCUCCAGAACUGUGAGAAAUAAAUUUCUGUUGCUUAUAAGACAACCAGUUUAUGACAUUUCGUUAUAGCAGCCUGAAUGGACUAAGACACCCUUCCCACCAUGUGAAGACAGAGUGAGAAGGUUCGGUCUAUGAACCAAAAACUGACCCUCACCAGUCAUUGAAUCUGCUGGUGCCUUGAUCUUGGACUUCCCAGCCUCCAGAACUGUGAGAAAUAAAUUUCUGUCGUUUAUAAGCCACCUAGUUUAUGAUACUUUGUUAUAGCAGCCUGAAUGGACUGAGACACCCACCUUAAAAAGACAGUACCUCAAAACCAUAAGGCAGGAUAACUGCUAGCCUGAUAUUAAUAGUUUUUAAUUUACUGCUAGCUUCAUUUUGCCAACUGAGUCAGAUAUUUUUUAAAAGUUCUGUUUGCAAUUAUUUUAACUUAGGAGAGGAGAAAAAGAGCAGGCAUCAGCCUGCAUAUGGGAUAUUUCUGAAAGGAUUUUGCUAUGAUUAGCUUGCCCUCAGGGAGAGUAAAAUGUGAGUUAUACAACCAUGCUUAUAUUUAGAUGUUGUUGAUGUUCUGGCUUAUAAUAUAUGAUGAGUUAGAAAUAAUUUUGUACUGAUCAGCCCAACCAGAAAAUAAACAUGCUUUAACUUGUAUUUAUUACUAAACUUGGUCUCCUAAAACAUGAUAAAGCAGUUGAGUCUAUAAUGACUGAGCCAUAGCUUCUCUGACUGACUCUAAGAGGGAAUGACGUUAAUAAGAGAUUAGCCCAUACCUCUAAUAGCCCUGGGAGAGAUGAACCCAAGACGGCAAGGCCCAGCUCUGAUGGAUGAAGGGACAGAGAACUAUAAGAAGACUGGGUUCCAUCUAGGAUGGGUGGCCUGUUGAGUGCCCAUCUUAUCUGCUUAGAUGAUGAUACUUGGAGACCUGACUCAAUUGUUGUGAAUGGUCUUUGUAAAAUUUUAUUUUAGAGACAGGGUCUUGCUAUGUUGCCCAGGCUGGUCUCAAACACCUGGGCUCAAGUGAUCCUCCUGCCUCAGCCUCCUGAGUAGCUGGAACUGCAAGUGAUUACUCUUAUUGAACAAACAAACAAAAACAAGUGCCUGUGACCUAAUAGAGAUGCAUGCAUAUGUUCACCAAAAGAUCUAGAAUGUCCACAACAGCCCUAUUUAUCAUCACCCCAAAUGGGGCACCCUGCACCUACCUCAACAGUAGAUGCAUACAUUUCUGUGUAUUUACACUGUGGAAUAUGACACAGCAAUGACAAUGAAUGAACUACAGCUAUACACAACAACAUGGAUGGCUAUCACAAACAUAAGGUAGAGCUAAAAGCGAAAAAAACCAGCAUAAAAGUGGGCAAAAGCCAUCUAUGUUGUUAAAAAUCAGGAUAGUGGCUGCCCUGGAAGGGGGCAUGAGGAGGCUUCAAGGUGCUUGUCAUGUUCUCUUUCUUCACU
rnacentral:lncRNA from 10 species